GACGAACGCUGGCGGCGUGCUUAACACAUGCAAGUCGAACGGAAAGGCCCUGCUUUUGUGGGGUGCUCGAGUGGCGAACGGGUGAGUAACACGUGAGUAACCUGCCCUUGACUUUGGGAUAACUUCAGGAAACUGGGGCUAAUACCAGAUAGGAGCUCCUGCUGCAUGGUGGGGGUUGGAAAGUUUCGGCGGUUGGGGAUGGACUCGCGGCUUAUCAGCUUGUUGGUGGGGUAGUGGCUUACCAAGGCUUUGACGGGUAGCCGGCCUGAGAGGGUGACCGGCCACAUUGGGACUGAGAUACGGCCCAGACUCCUACGGGAGGCAGCAGUGGGGAAUAUUGCACAAUGGGCGGAAGCCUGAUGCAGCAACGCCGCGUGCGGGAUGACGGCCCUCGGGUUGUAAACCGCUUUCGCCAGUGACGAAGCGUGAGUGACGGUAAUGGGUAAAGAAGCACCGGCUAACUACGUG
rnacentral:rRNA from 1 species